UACGUAGGGGGCAAGCGUUGUCCGGAUUUAUUGGGCGUAAAGAGCGUGUGGGCGGCCAGGUAGGUCCGUUGUGAAAACUGGAGGCUUAACCUCCAGCUGUCGAUGGAAACCAUCUGGCUAGAGUCCGGAAGAGGAGAGUGGAAUUCCUGGUGUAGCGGUGAAAUGCGCAGAUAUCAGGAAGAACACCCGUGGCGAAGGCGGCUCUCUGGGACGGUACUGACGCUGAGACGCGAAAGCGUGGGGAGCGAACAGG
rnacentral:rRNA from 1 species